UCCCUGGUGGCUCAGACGGUAAAGCAUCUGUCUACAAUGCAGGAGACCAGGGUUCGAGCCCUGGGUUGGGAA
rnacentral:tRNA from 1 species